CCUACGGGAGGCAGCAGUCGAGAAUCAUUCACAAUGGGGGAAACCCUGAUGGUGCGACUCCGCGUGGGGGAAUGAAGGUCUUCGGAUUGUAAACCCCUGUCAUGUGGGAGCAAAUUAAAAAGAUAGUACCACAAGAGGAAGAGACGGCUAACUCUGUGCCAGCAGCCGCGGUAAUACAGAGGUCUCAAGCGUUGUUCGGAAUCACUGGGCGUAAGGCGUGCGUAGGCUGUUUCGUAAGUCGUGUGUGAAAGGCGCGGGCUCAACCCGCGGACGGCACAUGAUACUGCGAGACUAGAGUAAUGGGGGGGGAACCGGAAUUCUCGGUGUAGCAGUGAAAUGCGUAGAUAUCGAGAGGAACACUCGUGGCGAAGGCGGGUUCCUGGACAUUAACUGACGCUGAGGCACGAAGGCCAGGGGAGCGAAAGGGAUUAGAUACCCUGGUAGUC
rnacentral:rRNA from 1 species